rnacentral:rRNA from 1 species
GACGAACCACACAAACGUUAUUCGGAAUUACUGGGCUUAAAGGGUGCGUAGGCGGCGCGGUAAGUCGGGUGUGAAAUCUUGGAGCUUAACUCCGAAACUGCAUUCGAUACUGCCGUGCUUGAGGACUGGAGAGGAGACUGGAAUUACGGUGUAGCUGGUGAAAUGCGUAGAUAUCGUAAGGAAGACAGUGGCGAAGGCCGGGUCUCUGGAC